rnacentral:rRNA from 1 species
AUGGCCCCCGCCGCCGCAUCGCAGCACCAGGCGACCACCGUGGCGCCGACGAGCGGCCGUAAGGUGGUGGACGAGGUGUCCGGCUGGCUGCGCGUGAUGGACGACGGCAGCAUCGACCGCACCUGGACGGGCCCGCCGCAGGCACUGCCGCUCAUGCAGCCGGUGCAGCCCUACGCCGUGCCCCGCGACGGCCACACGCUCCACGACCUUCCCGGGGAGCCCAACCUCCGGGUGUACCUCCCCGAGGUCGACGCGGGCAGCGUCGGCCGCCUCCCCGUCAUCGUGCAGCUCCACGGCGGUGGCUUCUGCAUCUCCCACCCGUCCUGGGUCCUGUACCACCACUUCUACGCGCGCCUAGCCUGCGCCGUGCCCGCCGUGGUCGUCACCGCCGAGCUCCCGUUAGCCCCGGAGCAACGCCUUCCUGCCCAGAUAUACACUGGCGUCGACGUGCUCCGCCGGCUGCGGUCCAUCGCCAUGUCCGACGAAGGCUCUCUCGACGACCCCGCGGCCGAGCUCCUCCGCGAGGCCGCGGACAUAUCCCGCGUGUUCCUCGUCGGGGACAGCUCCGGUGGCAACCUCGUCCACCUCGUGGCCGCGCGCGUCGGCGAGGACGGCGCGGACGCCUGGGCGCCCCUCCGCGUCGCUGGCGGCAUCCCGAUCCACCCGGGGUUCGUGCGCGCCACGCGGAGCAAGUCGGAGCUGCAGCCAACGCCGGACUCGGUGUUCUUCACGCUGGACAUGCUGGACAAGUUCCUGGCCAUGGCGCUGCCGAAGGGCGCCACCAAGGACCACCCGUACACGUGCCCGAUGGGCCCGAACGUGCCGCCGCUGGAGUCCGUCCCUCUGCCGCCGAUGCUGGUGGCGGUCGCGGAGAAGGACCUCAUCCGCGACACCAACCUCGAGUACUGCGACGCGCUGCGUGCUGCCGGCAAGGAGGUGGAGGUGCUCAUCAACCGCGGCAUGAGCCAUUCCUUCUACCUCAACAAGUUCGCCGUCGACAUGGACCCUACCACCGGGGAGCGAGCCCAGGAGCUCAUCGACGCCAUCAAGAGCUUCGUCGCCCGCCACUUAUAA